rnacentral:rRNA from 1 species
UGGACGGGGUGCAGCAGGCGCGAAAACUCCGCAAUACACGAAAGUGUGACGGGGCCAUCCCGAGUGCCAUCCGCUGAGGAUGGCUUUUCCCCAGUGUAUAAAGCUGGGGGAAUAAGGAGAGGGCAAGCCUGGUGUCAGCCGCCGCGGUAAUACCAGCUCUCCGAGUGGUGGGGAUGCUUAUUGGGCCUAAAGCAUUCGUAGCCUGCUUGGCAAGUCCUCCGUUAAAUCCAACGAUUCAAUCGUUGGGCUGCGGGGGAUACUGUCCAGCUAGGGGGCGGAAGAGGCCGACGGUAUCCUCGGGGUAGGGGUGAAAUCCUAUAAUCCCGGGAGGACCACCAGUGGCGAAGGCUGUCGGCUAGAACGCGCUCGACGUGAGGGAUGAAAGCUGGGGGAGCGAACCGGAUUAGAUACCCGGGUAGUCCCAGCUGUAAACGAUGCAGGCUAGGUGUUGGCGCGGCUACGUGCCGCUCCAGUGCCGCAGGGAAGCCGUUAAGCCUGCCGCCUGGGAAGUACGGCCGCAAGGCUGAAACUUAAAGGAAUUGGCGGGGGAGCACCACAAGGUGUGAAGCUUGCGGUUUAAUUGGAGUCAACGCCGGAAAUCUCACCGGGGGCGACAGCAGAAUGAAGGUCAGAUUGAAGGUCUUACCAGACAAGCUGAGAGGAGGUGCAUGGCCGUCGCCAGUUCGUGCCGUGAGGUGUCCUGUUAAGUCAGGCAACGAUCGAGACCCGCAUCCCCUGUUGCCACCGGCCUUGAGCCGAGCACACCGGGGAGACUGCCGCCGACAAGGCGGAGGAAGGAGCGGGCCACGGCAGGUCAGUAUGCCCCGAAUCCCCCGGGCUACACGCGAGCUGCAAUGGCAGGUACAGAGGGUACCGACUCUGAAAGGAGAAGGAAAUCCCGAAAGCCUGCCGUAGUUGGGAUCGAGGGUUGAAACUCACCCUCGUGAACAUGGAAUACCUAGUAACCGCGUGUCACUACCGCGCGGUGAAUACGUCCCUGCUCCUUGCACGAAUUCGCCGA